rnacentral:rRNA from 1 species
GUGCCAGCAGCCGCGGUAAUACCGGCAGCCCGAGUGAUGGCCGAUCUUAUUGGGCCUAAAGCGUCCGUAGCUGGCUGCGCAAGUCCGUCGGGAAAUCCACUCGCCCAACGAGUGGGCGUCCGGCGGAAACUGCGCAGCUUGGGACCGGAAGGCUCGAAGGGUACGUUCGGGGUAGGAGUGAAAUCCCAUAAUCCCGCACGGACCACCGAUGGCGAAAGCGCGUCGGGAAGACGGAUCCGACGGUGAGGGACGAAAGCCAGGGUCUCCAACCGGAUUAGAAACCCUGGUAGUCC